rnacentral:rRNA from 1 species
UACGAAGGGUGCAAGCGUUACUCGGAAUUACUGGGCGUAAAGAGCUCGUAGGCGGCUUGUUGCGUCGACUGUGAAAACCCGCGGCUUAACUGCGGGCUUGCAGUUGAUACGGGCAGGCUAGAGUUCGGUAGGGGAGACUGGAAUUCCUGGUGUAGCGGUGAAAUGCGCAGAUAUCAGGAGGAACACCGGUGGCGAAGGCGGGUCUCUGGGCCGAUACUGACGCUGAGGAGCGAAAGCGUGGGGAGCGAACAGG